rnacentral:rRNA from 1 species
UAAAAUGUCGGCGAGCGGCGGACGGCUGAGUAACGCGUGGGAACGUACCCCAAAGUGAGGGAUAACGCAUCGAAAGGUGUGCUAAUACCGCAUAUGGUCUUCGGAUUAAAGCCUUCGGGCGCUUUGGGAACGGCCUGCGUAAGAUUAGAUAGUUGGUGGGGUAAUGGCCUACCAAGUCGACGAUCUUUAACUGGUUUGAGAGGAUGAUCAGUCAGACUGGAGCUGAGACACGGUCCAG